AAAUAAUGAGUAACUAAGAAAUGCGAUACAAGUCCAGUAAAUACAGAAUUCGAUACAAUAGUUUCUAGAAAGCAUGAAAGGAUUAGAUAAGGGAGGCACGGGGGCUGCGGACGCUAACAGCUACCUCGUAGUCUCCAAAUUACUGCCUGGACAGGGAAGAUAAGCGCUCAGGAGUGUACUCUGCGAUGCCUGAAUCUGCACACAUGGUGCAGGAGUAAUGUGAG
rnacentral:lncRNA from 1 species